rnacentral:ncRNA from 2 species
AUCAUAUGAUUAGUUAAAUAUUGAAUGAUCCUAUGUUCAAGGGAAAAAGGUGAAAAUCCUUUGCUGUAAUCGCAGCUGUAAGGUAAAAUGCCCGUUUCAAUCCACUGUCCUGACGGAUGGGAAGGGAAACCGGAUGAUAUUACCAAGCCAGAAGACCUAUAUAGGAGUUUAUUCUUAA